CCUCUCAUGGCGUAGUGGUUAGCGCGCCCCAGCUAGAGAUCGGGGAGUCGUGAGUUCGAUUCUCACUGAGAAGA
rnacentral:tRNA from 1 species